rnacentral:rRNA from 1 species
CAUAGCGACUAUCGUGGCAUAUCAAUAAGCGGAGGAAAAGAAACUAACAAGGAUUCCCUUAGUAACGGCGAGUGAAGCGGGAAGAGCUCAAAUUUGAAAUCUUCAAGGUUUUACCUUGACGAAUUGUGGUUUAAAGAAGUGUUUUCUGUUGGAGUUUUGGUAAAAGUUCUUUGGAAUAGGACAUCAUAGAGGGUGAGAAUCCCGUAUUUGACCAUUAUUUCCAGCUGUGUGAUACACUUUCAAAAAGUCGGAUUGUUUGGGAAUGCAGUCCAAAAUGGGUGGUAAAUUUCAUCUAAAGCUAAAUAUUGGCGAGAGACCGAUAGCGAACAAGUACCGUGAGGGAAAGAUGAAAAGAACUUUGAAAAGAGAGUUAAACAGUACGUGAAAUUGUCAAAAGGGAAGCGUUUGACACCAGUGUUGUUUUUCCGAAAAUCAAUUACGAAUGUUUUAUUUUUGAGGAGUUAUGACUUCAUCGGCUUGCUCCUUUCUUUAUGAAACUUUCUUAAUGCACUUUUCGGUUAACAAGUCAACAUCAAUUUCUUUUGUUGUAAAAGGUUAAGAGGAAGGUGGCUUUACUUUCGGGUAGAGUGUUUAUAGCCUUUUAACUCUGCAAUCGGAGAGAUUGAGGUCUGCAGCGUAGAUCCUUCGGGGUUAGAUACGUUUGUGCUAAGUUAUAGCUUUUCAUAGACAACUUGUUGACUAUGUUAAGUCUUGUAAUUUACUCGCAGAUGCUAUUUUACCUACGCUUAGGAUGUUGAUAUGCAUGACUGAUAU